GACGAACGCUGGCGGCGUGCUUAACACAUGCAAGUCGAACGAAGUGGCGAACGGGUGAGUAACGCGUAAUCAACCUGCCCUUCAGAGGGGGACAACAGUUGGAAACGACUGCUAAUACCGCAUACUGAAGGAGGGGCGUGCGUCUGAUUAGCUAGUUGGAGGGGUAACGGCCCACCAAGGCGAUGAUCAGUAGCCUGUCUGGGAAGAGGAACGGCCAAAUUGGGAAUGAGGCACGGCCCAGGCUGCGACGGGAGGCAGCAGUGGGGAAACUUCCGCAAUGGACGAAAGUCUGGCGGAGCAACGCCGCGUGGUGGGUGACAGCCUUCGGGUUGGAAAGCUCUGUUAAUCGGGGCGCGGUACCGAAAUAGAAAGCCACGGCUAACUACGUGCCAGCAGCCGCGGUAAUAC
rnacentral:rRNA from 1 species